GUUUGUUUUCCUAGGCAGGGGAAUUUCGGAAGCAGGAGUGAGAACUCUGCAUGAGGAACAUUUAGGUUUCAAGACUCAGGGAAUCAAACCAACUGAUGGGGUAUCUUCUAGAGCGAGGAGACCUGGAAGAAGGACCAGCUGGCUGGCCUCAGAGGUGACCUUGCUCCAGAGGCCAGGGAAAUGAGAGGACACACUCUGGAAGAGAAUUUAAAUUUUCAAGGCCAGAAGAGCAUCAGGAUAUGAAGGUGAAGGUCAUAGAGAAGGGUUGGGGACGUUUCCUCAAGGGCAGGGAAAGGG